CAAAUUACUUUGUUUUCUUCUUUUCUUCCCAUCUUCUUCAUUACCUUCGGAGAACACCCAUGAUCCAUGAUCUCCGAUGCCAUACGCGCGACCUAGUUCACCAUCACCGCCGUAUCUCUUCAGAUACUUCUUGAUCGGUGUCGGAUUCACCGCCAAUUUAGUGCGACUAGCUCCUUCAACCUCCUCAACACCUAUGUGCACGAGACCCUCACUGCCCUCACCGGCCUUUCCCAGUCUUCGUAUGUUCCCAUCUUCUUCCUUCCUUUACAAUUGCUGCGUUCUCACUCACCCACUCUCUUUCUUCAUAAUUACUCUCUCUUGCUCAACCAGUGGUCUUUGCAUCCUAAAUGUGGAGUCGAAGCUUCUUAUGUUGGCAGUUUCAUUCAUCUGCAUUUUAUACUAACAGAGGUGGUUGCUGUCAACUUAUGAGAUAGAUGCUCAGAUUGGCAGUAGAGCGCACCCUUGCAAUGAUCAACCCAACAUUAUCGUGUAAUUUGAGUAGGAAGAUGUAAAAAGAGAUCAAUUAGUCCUUGCCAAUGGUGGAUCGCCAGUCGCUUGCACACCCGUGGCCAGCAAACCAAAAGCGUCCAUUAUGGGGUUAUAAGAUUAUCGGGACAUUCUGUCAUUUAGUUGUGGGGAGUAGUCCAUCACGGUCUUGGUCUAUUUAUAGUUACAUAUGGGGUCAUCCUUGAAUGUAUGUUACCGGAAGGAAUAAUAUGGGGUUAUAUAAUUGCCUAGAUAGACAGUAUAUAGGCUGGAGUUCCCAACUGAGUUUCACUGAUUCAGAUAGGAGCUCAAUGUCGGUUUGUACAAUUUUAAGUUUCUUUGUAUCCAAGUUUUGCUUUCUCUGGCAAUAACAUAUUUGAUUGUU